AAAUGAAGAAAAAACAGCAGAAAAGGACACCUGAAAAGUGAAAGAAACGAUAUACCGAAUAGAUGGGUAAUUAUUUUAGUGAAGUUUAAAAUAGACGAGACCCUCUUUAUUCAAUUUCAGACGAAGAUGUAGAUCUGGCUGAAUUAUAAAAGACGAGAUUGAAGUUAAAAGAGCAUUGAAGAAAACACAAAAUGGGAAGUCAGCGAAAUGGACAGUGUAUCACCAGAGCUAAUCAAGGC
rnacentral:lncRNA from 1 species